GACGAACGCUGGCGGCGUGCCUAAUACAUGCCAGUUGAGCGCUGAAGGUUGGUACUUGUACCAACUGGAUGAGCAGCGAACGGGUGAGUAACGCGUGGGGAAUCUGCCUUUGAGCGGGGGACAACAUUUGGAAACGAAUGCUAAUACCGCAUAAAAACUUUAAACACAAGUUUUAAGUUUGAAAGAUGCAAUUGCAUCACUCAAAGAUGAUCCCGCGUUGUAUUAGCUAGUUGGUGAGGUAAAGGCUCACCAAGGCGAUGAUACAUAGCCGACCUGAGAGGGUGAUCGGCCACAUUGGGACUGAGACACGGCCCAAACUCCUACGGGAGGCAGCAGUAGGGAAUCUUCGGAAAUGGACGAAAGUCUGACCGAGCAACGCCGCGUGAGUGGAGAAGGGUUUCGGAUCGUAAAACUCUGUUGGUAGAGAAGAACGUUGGUGAGAGUGGAAAGCUCAUCAAGUGACGGUAACUACCCAGAAAGGGACGGCUAACUACGUG
rnacentral:rRNA from 1 species